UAGAACGCUGAAGAGAGGAGCUUGCUCUUCUUGGAUGAGUUGCGAACGGGUGAGUAACGCGUAGGUAACCUGCCUUGUAGCGGGGGAUAACUAUUGGAAACGAUAGCUAAUACCGCAUAACAAUGAAUGACACAUGUCAUUUAUUUGAAAGGGGCAAUUGCUCCACUACAAGAUGGACCUGCGUUGUAUUAGCUAGUAGGUGAGGUAACGGCUCACCUAGGCGACGAUACAUAGCCGACCUGAGAGGGUGAUCGGCCACACUGGGACUGAGACACGGCCCAGACUCCUACGGGAGGCAGCAGUAGGGAAUCUUCGGCAAUGGGGGCAACCCUGACCGAGCAACGCCGCGUGAGCGAAGAAGGUUUUCGGAUCGUAAAGCUCUGUUGUAAGUCAAGAACGAGUGUGAGAGUGGAAAGUUCACACUGUGACGGUAGCUUACCAGAAAGGGACGGCUAACUACGUGCCAGCAGCCGCGGAAAUACGUAGGUCCCGAGCGUUGUCCGGAUUUAUUGGGCGUAAAGCGAGCGCAGGCGGUUUGAUAAGUCUGAAGUUAAAGGCUGUGGCUCAACCAUAGUUCGCUUUGGAAACUGUCAAACUUGAGUGCAGAAGGGGAGAGUGGAAUUCCAUGUGUAGCGGUGAAAUGCGUAGAUAUAUGGAGGAACACCGGUGGCGAAAGCGGCUCUCUGGUCUGUAACUGACGCUGAGGCUCGAAAGCGUG
rnacentral:rRNA from 1 species